UACGGAGGGGGCUAGCGUUGUUCGGAAUUACUGGGCGUAAAGCGCACGUAGGCGGCUUUGCAAGUUAGAGGUGAAAGCCCGGGGCUCAACUCCGGAAUUGCCUUUAAAACUGCAUCGCUAGAAUUGUGGAGAGGUAAGUGGAAUUCCGAGUGUAGAGGUGAAAUUCGUAGAUAUUCGGAAGAACACCAGUGGCGAAGGCGGCUUCCUGGCCUGUAACUGACGCUGAGACGCGAAAGCGUGGGGAGCGAACCGG
rnacentral:rRNA from 1 species